CGCCCAAUAGCUAGCCCACAAAUACAACCUCAACCAUCCCCUAUCCAUAACCCUAAACACACUAACCCAAACGUAACUAAACCAUUUUUCCGCUUUAGUAUUGGCGAAAGAAAAAGAAAGAAGAAGCAAUAGAAAAAGUACCGCAAGGGAACGCUGAAAGAGAAAUGAAAUAACCCAGUAAAGCAAACAAAAGCAGAGAUUCAUCCUCGUACCUUUUGCAUCAUGAUUUAGCCAGCGCACCCAAGCAAAACGCAUUUUAGUUUGAGACCCCGAAACCAGGUGAGCUACUCCAAGACAGCCUAUUUGUAGGGCAAACCCGUCUCUGUGGCAAAAGAGUGGGAAGAUCUUCGAGUAGAGGUGACAGACCUACCGAACCUUGUUAUAGCUGGUUGCCUGGGAAUUGAAUAGGAGUUCAGCCUUCCCGGUUCUUUAUUUAAACUCGUAAUACACCCUUGUAAAACAAGAACACUGGAAGAGUUAGUCAAAGGGGGUACAGCCCCUUUGAACAAAGACACAACUUUAUAAGGCGGGUUAAGAUCAUA
rnacentral:rRNA from 1 species